rnacentral:rRNA from 1 species
AUUGAACGCUGGCGGCAGGCCUAACACAUGCAAGUCGAACGAGUGGCGGACGGGUGAGUAAUGUCUGGGAAACUGCCCGAUGGAGGGGGAUAACUACUGGAAACGGUAGCUAAUACCGCAUACCAUCGGAUGUGCCCAGAUGGGAUUAGCUAGUCGGUGGGGUAACGGCUCACCUAGGCGACGAGCCCUAGAUGGUCUGAGAGGCGGACCAGCCACCCGGUAACUUAGACACGGUCCAGUCUCCUACGUGAGGCAGCAGUGGGGAAUAUUGCACAAUGGGCGCAAUCCUGAUGCAGCCAUGCCGGGUGUAUGAAGAAGGCCUGCGGGUUGUAAAGUACUUUCAGCGAGGAGGCGUUACUCGCAGAAGAAGCACCGGCUAACUCCGUGCCAGCAGCCGCGGUAAUUC